rnacentral:rRNA from 1 species
GUGAGGAAUAUUGGUCAAUGGGUGCAAGCCUGAACCAGCCAUCCCGCGUGAAGGACGACUGCCCUAUGGGUUGUAAACUUCUUUUGUAUAGGGAUAAACCUACCCUCGUGAGGGUAGCUGAAGGUACUAUACGAAUAAGCACCGGCUAACUCCGUGCCAGCAGCCGCGGUAAUACGGAGGGUGCAAGCGUUAUCCGGAUUUAUUGGGUUUAAAGGGUCCGUAGGCGGACUUAUAAGUCAGUGGUGAAAUCCUGUCGCUUAACGAUAGAACUGCCAUUGAUACUGUAAGUCUUGAGUAUAUUUGAGGUAGCUGGAAUAAGUAGUGUAGCGGUGAAAUGCAUAGAUAUUACUUAGAACACCAAUUGCGAAGGCAGGUUACCAAGAUAUAACUGACGCUGAGGGACGAAAGCGUGGGGAGCGAACAGG